rnacentral:tRNA from 1 species
UCCCUGGCGGUCAAGUGGUUUGAACUUGGCACUUUUACUGCCGUGGGCCUGGGUUCAAUCCCUGGUCAGGGAA